CUCGUAGCUCCUGUUCCUUGACCUUUCAUGAGGUCUACAGUAAGAAGUCAUGGCCAGGAAUGGAGCUUCGGACUGCUGUGCCGAUUUAGAUUACAAUGUGACCAGGAAUUCCUGUGUGAAAAUAAAAAGAAAGGAGGCGACGUUGAACGUCAGAGCAAUCAGGAGAAUUGUGAUCGAUGUUUCUUUGUAUGCUCUCCUUGCAAGAUAAUUAACUGA